rnacentral:rRNA from 1 species
GACGAACGCUGGCGGCGUGCUUAACACAUGCAAGUCGAACGGAAAGGCCCUGCUUUUGUGGGGUGCUCGAGUGGCGAACGGGUGAGUAACACGUGAGUAACCUGCCCUUGACUUUGGGAUAACUUCAGGAAACUGGGGCUCAUACCGGAUAGGAGCUCCUGCUGCAUGGUGGGGGUUGGAAAGUUUCGGCGGUUGGGGAUGGACUCGCGGCUUAUCAGCUUGUUGGUGGGGUAGUGGCUUACCAAGGCUUUGAUGGGUAGCCGGCCUGAGAGGGUGACCGGCCACAUUGGGACUGAGAUACGGCCCAGAAUCCUACGGGAGGCAGCAGUGGGGAAUAUUGCACAGUGGGCGGAAGCCUGAUGCAGCAACGCCGCGUGCGGGAUGACGGCCUUCGGGUUGUAAACCGCUUUCGCCUGUGACGAAGCGUGAGUGACGGUAAUGGGUAAAGAAGCACCGGCUAACUACGUG